AGCGAACGCUAGCGGCGGGCCUAACACAUGCAAGUCGAGCGGGGAGCAAUCCCAGCGGCGAACGGGUGAGUAACACGUGGGUAAUGUGCCUUCUGGUGGGGAAUAACCUUGGGAAACCAGGGCUAAUACCGCAUAUCGUGCUUCGGCAUGAAAGCCUUCGGGCGCCAGUAGAGCAGCCUGCGUCCCAUUAUUUAGUCCUAGUUGGUAGGGUAAUGGCCUACCAAGGGUACGAUGGGUAGCUGGUCUGAGAGGAUGAUCAGCCACACUGGAACUGAGACACGGUCCAGACUCCUACGGGAGGCAGCAGUGGGGAAUAUUGCGCAAUGGGGGAAACCCUGACGCAGCCACGCCGCGUGAGUGAUGAAGGCCUCGGUUGUAAGCUCUGUCGGGAGGGACGGAAGGGAGGCGAAUACUCUGACGGUACCGUCG
rnacentral:rRNA from 1 species